UGGUGAGUAUUUGCUUCAGGUUGGGAGCUAAGGCCUUAGAAACAGUUUUGCCCCAGUUUCACACUCAGCAAUGGUAGGAGCCCUAGUAUACACAGGAUGCAGGAAUUCUGUGGCCAUGCCUGCAGGGAUCGGGGGUAGACAACAAAACGUAACAGAACUAACUUUACUGCAUGUUAUACACACCCAGAGAAGCCCUCAAUGCAAGAGAAGCAGUACAAUUCCUGACAACUUUCAAGCUCUUAAAACCCAACAAGAGAAGGGCAUUCAUACUUCCAGGAAGUCAUGGGGAGUUUCCUUGCCAGUUACCAAAUGACUAAUGAGCAGGUUGGCUGAACAUCCAUUUUAUGUUACAUUGGUAAUUCACUGAUCUUACUCUAUUCUCGAUAUCGUAGCUAUUUUUGAUCUAAUCUAUUUAAGCAGCUAACUGUUUGUCUCAGUAAGGCAUUCCUAAAAUGUCCAUCACCAUGGUAUCUGAGCACUGACCACAGUAAUGUGGACUUUGACAGCACUAAGAGGACAUCAAAGUGGGCUCUGCUUUUUGCAUCUCCCAGUUUCUAUGAAGCUUUAUUUGCUUUUCCUUCUUUGCAUAUGUAUUUGUUGAACACCCAAGUGCUUGCAGUUGUUUUUUUAACUGCAGCAGGACAUUUUUUAUCUAGUUACAUUUUUUAAAUGCAAAUAUAGUAAUAUUAUUUCUAUUGAGGUAGCACCCAAACUGAUGGAGACCUCUUUGUGCUCGGAAAUGUAUAAUCAUGUGAUGAAAAUACUCCCUGCUCUAAGAGUUUUACAAAUGAUGUAUUCAGGUUUAUUUGAUUCCAUAUGAAGGAUGGAGGGAGAGGGAUAUAACUUUCAUAUUCGAUGGUAAAUUGUUUGGGGCAGGAGCCAGGCCUUUUUGCACAUCUGAACAACACCUAGGACAGUGGGACCCUAAUCCUAAUUGGGACCUUUGGUUUCCACUAUAAUAGUAAAAUUGUUAUUUUCAUGAUUUAGGGCCUACGGGCCCCAAGUGAAAGAGAGGGGUCCCACUCUGCUAUAUGCUCUAGACCACAGAAAGAGCCUCAAAAAGGUUAUAGUCUAAAUAGAUAAGACAUUCAAAGAAAAGAUAGUUCUCAUUUUACAGAUGGAGGACAGGAGAUUAUAGGCCAGAUUUUAAAGAAGAGCUGAGCACUUCUCCCUCCAGCAUAAAUUGACAGAAGCAGUGGAUACCUCUGCACCUCUAAAAUUCAGGCUCUUGGUAACUUGCCUAUGGUCAUGCAUGGCAUUUGUGGCAUUGCUGUGAAUUGAGUUCAGACCUCCCGAGUCCUAGUUCAGUGCCUUAACCACAAAGCAUUAAUGGUGGGAAAGUGCACUACAAUUUGCUACCUGUAUGUUUCUGUCCAUGGAAGGAGAAUGCACUAAGGCCGAAAUUCUCAGAGGUAUUUAGUCUCCUAACUUUCAUUGAAAUCAUCCUAACUACUGAAUUAGGAUCUGGACCCAAGAACCUAAAAUGCAUCCGAGGAAGUGAGCUGUAGCUCACAAAAGCUUAUGCCCAAAUACAUUUGUUAGUCUCUAAGGUGCCACUAGUACUCCUUUUCUUUUUGCGAAUACAGACUGACACGGCUGCUACUCUGAAACCUAAAAUGGUUAGUGGCUCUCUCACAAACUCUCCGUCCUGCUCCCACCCCCAACCCAACAGGAAACCAGAUGGUACAGUAAGAACAGCAGCAAUAUCCUCAUUUCUUGCUUUCUUCAGACAGGACUGGGUAACAUUAUUUUUCUUUUGACCAAAUUGAGCACCAUUAACUUUCCUUCCUGAAAAGGUGCAGCAAGUUAAGGAGACAUGGUGGGAUGUCUGCAAGCCCUCGUUGCUUGCCUCUUCCCUGCUGUUCUGUGGGCCAUUCACCUGGAGCAGGAGCAGAUCUCUCUCACAAAGCAGCCAGUUCAAGGCAAUUCUGCCAAAUUCACUUGCAAGGUGUUUGGUGGAUCGGACUCUACCUACAUCCACUGGUACCGAGCCUCAGCUGGAGAGGCCCCACACAGGCUGCUGUACCUCACUCUCUCUGGGUCGGAGUUAAAGCGAGAGGCAGCCUUCCCCAAGGAGAAAUUCUCAGCCUAUGGGACAAAAAACAUCUCUAACUUGGUGGUGCACAAGCUGGAAGAGACAGACAGCGGCCGCUAUUACUGUGCCACAUGGGAUUUUACACAGUGCCACAAGCUUCCUGCAACCCUGCACAAAAACCACCACAGCUCUGUGUGUGGGACUCAACUCUCAUGUUACUGCUGCAGCAGAGCAGGCUGAGCCCUGCCCCUGGCCCAGGAACACCAGCCUUCAGAACAGGCAUAGCCUCAGUCCCACAAACCACGGCCAGCGUGAACUCCCGUUCGGCCAGCCCAAGUUGUGUAGGGAUUUGCCUGAGCCAGGGAAGUGGGAGUUUGCGCCACCCACUAGGUAAAGCUGACAUCCAGUGACUGCCUGCCAGUACUGGCUCCAUCUCUAAAGGCAGAACAAGUGAUUGAGCAGUCACUACCCAUUUGACUUCACAAAGUAAUGGGUGACCAGAGACACUGGGGAGUGGGAGAAUGGGGUGGGCACAAUAAAUAACUGGGGAGAGACUUGUGGGGGGGGGAGGGUAAAGUGAAUAGGGAAGAUGAGGGGAAGACAUUUUCUUUGUUGGAACAAACAGCAGUUUGCAACUCCACUGGGAAUUUUCAGGACAGCUCUAUAGCUGGAGCUGUAGUUUACACACAAUACAGGAGUUUGCCUCUCAGUUUCAGUGGCCCAACAUAAAAUAACUAACUUGGCUCCUCUGAGUGCACAUGUGUGCCAUGCUCGAGGAGUUAAGACUAAAAUAGCCAGCUCUUACAAGCUCUUCAUUGUAAGCUCUUCAUUGUAAAUGUGAGACGGGCACAGGAAAUCCUGGGGGGCUUCCUUCCCAUGGAAAAGGGCCCAAUCCUCACAUUCAUCUGCACUGCACUCGGUGCAAGACUGAGCUUGGUGACAAAGGUGGCUGGAUGCCAUCUCUGUGCCCCCAUAGUGCUGGGGUCAGGUAGUGGCUAGUUUUGCUCCCACUACACCUUAGCGCAUUUAGUUGUGCCCUGCAAGGAAUGACCCUAAGGAGCCACUGUGGGAGUUAGGGAUCACAGUAAUGCAGUACCUCCCUCUAGCCAUGUCCAUUACAGCAGAGUAGAAAUGGAAUACCUUAUCCUAGGUUCCAGGAAUUCCAGCCGCUCCUGAGAAUGGAUAGGUUUUUGGCUCACACUUAUGUCCUUUGAUAGCUCAUUUCACCAUCAAUCACCUUUGACUGAGAACUUUUUAUCAUCAUUACAAAUGAGCAAAUGAAACUGGUUAUUGUAGUGUUGAUCGACGUGUGGGGCUCCUGUUAAUAUCAUUGAAUUAUAUAUGAUACCACUCACAUAUAAUUUAGAGAGUCAUACAUGUGCCUGUCACUUAUAGGCACUGUUCAGGAUGUCCAAUAUAGAUUAAUAUCCAUUCAAGUUCUUGGUAUGUAUGUUAAGGAAACCAUUUGGUCCACAACAAAUCAUAAACAUGGGACAUUUACAGAAGAGUGGUCCUUACAUAUAUAUUUCCAAAGUUUUCAUUAACAUGUAGUUAAGGUUCAUAAAAUCAUAGAGGUUUGAAAUGGAAAAGACCUAUUACAGCAUCCAGUUCAUCUUCCUGCCAAUGCAGAGCUAUUCCCUACCAAGUGUUUUCUAGUUUUUUGUCGAGUCUAGUUUUAAAGAUCUCCAAAAUGGGGCUUCCAUCAUCUCCUUUGACAGAUGAUUCCAUGCCUGAUAGAAUAGCAAGAAACUUAAUGACACUGAUCUCAAAGUUUUCCAUAUUUUCUCUGUCCUCACGGGUGUCUCCAACUCAACCCAGUUUUGAAUCGUAUGCAAGUUUUGUAAGUGUAUUAUUCACACCAUCCGCUGCAUCAGUAAGGAAGAUGUUUGACAUUUCUUUUUUCUUGCAUUAAAGAUUGAUUAAAGCGCUUUGAAAUCUCCAAAGGAAAAGGUGCUCCAUCCUGCAAGAUACUGAGCUAUUUCUAAAAGCUAGUGGGUGCUCUCAUCAUCAUCAUCUGUAGACACUAAUAAGAGUUGAGAGACCUCAGCACUUCCAGCAUUACUUAGUGCUUUACAGGAUAAGCUCUGUAUGAGCAGAGUGUUCAGUUUAUUUUCAGUAGUUCUCAGACUUAUGUAUGGAAUUCAAUCAAGUCAUAAUAAGAUUUCAUCCUUGAGUUGGGUGACUGUUUUCCUUCUAGUCUCUUGAUCACUGUACCAACAAUUAUACAAUGUAUAUUUUCAAAAGUUAUGACCCAGUCAUCAAUGCAAAGUUAACCCACUGUGUUCCUCAACAACAACAACAACAACAAAAACCAAAAUUUUCAAAGAACUGUAGCAAGAUCUGGAACAUGGACCUAGGCAUUAGCAGCUGAGAUUUCUCAAGUCUACCUUUUUCAGAAUGUGCUCCUUUCUGUAACAUGGAGCAAAUGGUGAAGGGAGAAAAUGAUACAGUGGCACAAAAUUUUUAACUGAAUUAAUAUUGAACCAUUAACAGCUUAUUUUGUGAAGCUACAAGAUGUCUUGAGAAUAAAAAGUUUAUACUGCAAAUUCCGCCCCCCUGCCUUCCCUCCCUCCCCAUACCACAAACAUCCUUUUAACAAAACAGGAUGUGUUGCUUUUCAGGGGCUUCAUCAUCAAGACAGGAAACCAACAAAUUACUGUUUAGACAUCUAGCAGGUUUGGAUUCCAAUUAUUUCACCAUUAUUGUAUUGUGCUUUUUUGUAAACACCACCACCACCACACAAAAACAAAAAAACCCCAAGUACACUCAGAAGAAUCUUUCCCCACAUUUUAGUAUUAGGAAUGGGAUUUUCAUUUUACUGUUGGGAUUUAAAGCCAUAAGGCCCUGGCCUUGUGAGUUCCUGUUGCCUGUAAUGGGAGAUGCAGGUGCUCACCACCUUACAGGACAGGCCUUUUCAAGUUUCAUCCAGAGUCCAGUGAAGUCAGUGGAAGAACUCCCAGCCACUUCAAUGAGCUUUGGACCAUACCCAAGACUCACCCUUUUGCUGUGGAACUACUGAACUAGACCUUCUGUACAGGGGCUCUCUUCAGACGCCAAGAAGAGGGCUGAUGUUGAUUCUUUGGACGCAAGAUUGUUUGAUCAGGAAUAUUGUAUAUUUACAGCAGUCAUUACAGCGUUUCCAUCCUAGAACUGCAUGUUUCUAUAUAAGUAAAGUGAUAAAAAUCUAUAGGGUUCUCUUUUUUUUUUUUUACCAAAAGGCCAUUUAAUAGGAUAUAAAUGUGUUUGAAAGUAAGAAUACAGCAAAUGAAUUACUCUAAUUGAAUGUUCUUGUUUCAAUAUAACUGAGCUAGAGGAAGAUGGAGCAUUAUCAGACUACCUGAGGAGCUGAUUCUGAAAACCACCACCUAUCCUGAAUAAACCCACUUCAGUCAAUGAGACUAUUAAUGUGAGUCAACUUACUCAAAACCUUCCUCUCCCUUGUACAUCCCCAUAAGCGUCAGAGGUAAGUCAGCCCUUAAUUAACGAGGCAGGGCUCAGACAAUUCUCAUCAUCAAGAAUUCCAGUGGGAGGCUUUCAGUCUCAUUUAAACGUCCGCACUCCUCCACAUCCAGUACAGCCCUCUUUGUGAAAUCAUUCCUGGUCUCAUGAUUAGAAAAUCGCUGCCUGUGUACAAACUAUGAUUUUUAAAUCCUUGGAAUUCAGACCAAGUUUGUCCGGAUGAUCAAGUUCAGGCUCCUAAAUUCCUUUAGGGAUCUGGCCCGAACUCUCUUUCCCCAGCUAGAUCUGUUCAAAGAAAGGUUAUAAGAAGUUUCUGUUGAUGGAAAAAAGUAUAUUCCACUCCCCACCGACCCACACCGAAAACAGGGACAGAGCCGGUAGCACUCCAUCUAUAUACUUAAUCACUAUGCUUUUGAAAUAUGGUAUAUUUGUUGCUAUGUUUCUUUGGAUAGUGUUCAAAGUAUAUUCAAAAUGUUCCAGAUUUUAAGGAGUUCUCAGAACAGUUUAUUGUAAAGUUUAAUGGGUUAAUUCAGCCCUUUGUAGAGGGGCAAGGACAAGGCUUAUACAGCACUUACUUCUCACUAUAACCCUCAAAAUAGGACUUAAGUGGGGUUAAAACAGUGUAAGGACCUUGUUCUGGCUCUCUGCACAGAGAUGAAGGUCACCCAAUAAAAGUUACAUACUCUUGUGGAGUGGGGUGGAAUAGACAACAACCGAUACCCAAAGGGAAACUCCCAGACAGGGUGUAUAUAGCACCAGAAUUCACAAACAGCAUAUGAAACCCCUAAUGAAACAACAGGAAUCUACUGAUGUAGGUGAAAACAAAGAGUUAAUCAUUGAAGCAUCUCUGAGUUUGGAUGAGGCAAAAAUCAAAUUAAAGUGCAAGGACAAUGUGUUUAUUUAAGAGAUUACUGAUUUCUUUUCCUUGACAACAAUUCUAUCAGAUCUAUAAACUUGAGGGGAUUCUGAGUUAAGACAAGAUGAAAAAUUCCCGAGUAAAUUCUCCCUAGGAAUUGGGGCUUAUUCCAAAGAUCAUUGAAAUCAAUUGAAGAACUUCCCAUUGACUUCAAUGGACUUGGCAUCAGACUCUUGGUGAUCUAUUUUCAUCACUGCUUGAAAAAGUUCUAUUAGUUGCCUUUUUCAUGCUGAGAACAUUAUUGCUUGAUCAAAUCUGCUGAUGUUUAUGUUUUUUUUUAAGGGAGUGCAGACAACCUCAAUACCUGCAACUAUUGUUAUAAUAAUCUGAUACUCUUUUUCAAAAGUUCUAAACAAGGCAGCAGUCAGAAGAGUUGCUGGAUAGCACGAGGGAAGGUUAGUAGAUGUUCCUAUCACAAAACUUUUGAACUUUUAUGUAAGGCAAACGCAUAUCUGUAUUGCCUUGAAAUAGCUAGCCAGUCACUUCCUCUACUCAAGUGAUCCCUCCCUUUUUCUGAGAUCAGAAUUCAUAUUCCUUUCUUUCUCAGUAGCAGGCUCAUCAUAACUUAGUGAGAAUGUUACUAUUGCAAGUUUAUCUUGUUGCUUCAGUAGUUUGGUCUUAUGGAGAGGCCCAAGUACUGGUACAAUCUCAACUAUCCAUCACCAGGGCAGAAAAUAAAACUGCACGAAUUGACUGUCAUGUUUCUGGCAUAACCCUUAGUACUGCUUAUAUACACUGGUAUCGACAGAGACCUGAUGCAGCUCUGGAACGGAUUCUCUAUCUUUCAUCAGGAAAACCCGUCUUUGACCAGGAUUCUGAGAAGGGAAAGUUUGAGGCAGAGAAGCAGCUCUCCGAGUCGAUCUGUGUCCUGACAGUAAAGAAAAUAAGCAAGA